rnacentral:rRNA from 1 species
CGGGUGAGUAACACGUGGAUAACCUACCUAUAAGACUGGGAUAACUUCGGGAAACCGGAGCUAAUACCGGAUAAUAUAUUGAACCGCAUGGUUCAAUAGUGAAAGACGGUUUUGCUGUCACUUAUAGAUGGAUCCGCGCUGCAUUAGCUAGUUGGUAAGGUAACGGCUUACUAAGGCAACAUGCGUAGCCGACCUGAGAGGGUGAUCGGCCACACUGGAACUGAGACACGGUCCAGACUCCUACGGGAGGCAGCAGAG